rnacentral:rRNA from 2 species
AGACCCGAAACCCGGUGAUCUAGCCAUGGGCAGGUUGAAGGUUGGGUAACACUAACUGGAGGACCGAACCGACUAAUGUUGAAAAAUUAGCGGAUGACCUGUGGCUGGGGGUGAAAGGCCAAUCAAACCGGGAGAUAGCUGGUUCUCCCCGAAAGCUAUUUAGGUAGCGCCUCGUGAAUUCAUCUCCGGGGGUAGAGCACUGUUUCGGCUAGGGGGCCAUCCCGGCUUACCAACCCGAUGCAAACUGCGAAUACCGGAGAAUGUUAUCACGGGAGACACACGGCGGGUGCUAACGUCCGUCGUGAAGAGGGAAACAACCCAGACCGCCAGCUAAGGUCCCAAAGUCAUGGUUAAGUGGGAAACGAUGUGGGAAGGCCCAGACAGCCAGGAUGUUGGCUUAGAAGCAGCCAUCAUUUAAAGAAAGCGUAAUAGCUCACUGGUCGAGUCGGCCUGCGCGGAAGAUGUAACGGGGCUAAACCAUGCACCGAAGCUGCGGCAGCGACACUGUGUGUUGUUGGGUAGGGGAGCGUUCUGUAAGCCUGUGAAGGUGUGUCGUGAGGCAUGCUGGAGGUAUCAGAAGUGCGAAUGCUGACAUAAGUAACGAUAAAGCGGGUGAAAAGCCCGCUCGCCGGAAGACCAAGGGUUCCUGUCCAACGUUAAUCGGGGCAGGGUGAGUCGACCCCUAAGGCGAGGCCGAAAGGCGUAGUCGAUGGGAAACGGGUUAAUAUUCCCGUACUUGGUGUUACUGCGAAGGGGGGACGGAGAAGGCUAUGUUGGCCGGGCGACGGUUGUCCCGGUUUAAGCGUGUAGGUGUGUGUUCCAGGUAAAUCCGGUUCACUUUAACACUGAGGCGUGAUGACGAGGCACUACGGUGCUGAAGCAACAAAUGCCCUGCUUCCAGGAAAAGCCUCUAAGCAUCAGGUAACAUCAAAUCGUACCCCAAACCGACACAGGUGGUCAGGUAGAGAAUACCAAGGCGCUUGAGAGAACUCGGGUGAAGGAACUAGGCAAAAUGGUGCCGUAACUUCGGGAGAAGGCACGCUGACACGUAGGUGAAGUGAUUUACUCAUGGAGCUGAAGUCAGUCGAAGAUACCAGCUGGCUGCAACUGUUUAUUAAAAACACAGCACUGUGCAAACACGAAAGUGGACGUAUACGGUGUGACGCCUGCCCGGUGCCGGAAGGUUAAUUGAUGGGGUCAGCGCAAGCGAAGCUCCUGAUCGAAGCCCCGGUAAACGGCGGCCGUAACUAUAACGGUCCUAAGGUAGCGAAAUUCCUUGUCGGGUAAGUUCCGACCUGCACGAAUGGCGUAAUGAUGGCCAGGCUGUCUCCACCCGAGACUCAGUGAAAUUGAACUCGCUGUGAAGAUGCAGUGUACCCGCGGCAAGACGGAAAGACCCCGUGAACCUUUACUAUAGCUUGACACUGAACAUUGAGCCUUGAUGUGUAG